rnacentral:rRNA from 1 species
AUUGAACGCUGGCGGCAUGCUUUACACAUGCAAGUCGAACGGCAGCGCGGGGGCAACCCUGGCGGCGAGUGGCGAACGGGUGAGUAAUGCAUCGGAACGUAUCCUGUAAUGGGGGAUAACGUAGCGAAAGUUACGCUAAUACCGCAUACGCUCGAGAGAGGAAAAUGGGGAUCGCAAGACCUCACGUUAUAGGAGCGGCCGAUGUCCGAUUAGCUAGUUGGUGGGUAAAGGCCUACCAAGGCGACGACCGGUAGCUGGUCUGAGAGGAUGAUCAGCCACACUGGGACUGAGACACGGCCCAGACUCCUACGGGAGGCAGCAGUGGGGGAAUUUUGGACAAUGGGCGAAAGCCUGAUCCAGCCAUGCCGCGUGCGGGAAGAAGGCC